AAGGAGAAAGAAGGGGCAGAAAGAAUCAGAAGGAGCACAAAGGUAAAGUAGGAGAAUGAACAGAAAGGGUUUACAUGGAACAGAAAGGGUCAGGAAGGAGCUGCAAGAAACUGGAAGGGGGCAGAAAGAAGGAGGAAGGGUCUGCAAUGAGCAGGAAGGGAAAUUAAGGAGCAGAAAGGGUCAACAAUUAUCUGAAAGGGGCACAAAGGUAAAGUAGGAAAAGGAACAGAAAUGAGCAGGAAGGGUCUGCAAGAAGCAGGAGGGCGCAGAAAUGGGCAGCAAGGGUCUGCAAGAAGCAGGAAAGGGCUGCAAGGAGAAAGAAGGGUCUGCAAGGAGCAGAAAGGGAUCGGAAAGAGAAAGGAGCAGAAGGGCGCAAAAUAGGCAGAAAGGUAAAGGAGCAGAAGGUGCUAAGGAGGAGAGAAGACUGUGUCAAAUGAAGGAGAAGAAAAUGAGAUUGGAGCAGAAAGGACAAGUGAAGUUAUCCCUCCACUUCAUUAAUUCUGGACACCACAUCAUAAGGCUUUGGUACCUGGGCCUAGCAGGAAACUUUGGAUCUUCUCAUCUCCCCAGGUAAAAAAC